AGUUACCUUUAAAUUGGCGAUUUCCAAAGCCAGUACCACGCUAAGUGGGAAACAACAGACAACAGGGCAGCAAUAAUGCGGGUGAUUCUGACGCUUGUGCUCAUGGCUGAGUGGUUAUUUGUGUUGGUAUUUGGCUUCCAGGAAAUAUUCUGUAUGAUUGGUAAACCAGGGACCUGUCCAAUAAGUAUGAGGGAACUGCCAUCAAGCUCAUUGUGUACCUGUGACAAUGAGUGUCCUGACAGAAUGAAGUGCUGUGCCUUUUACUCCAUCCGUUACUGUGGGCGACAAGGUCUUGGAAAUCCAGGUCCAUGUAACACCAUAAAGAAAGGAGACAGAAUAUGUACUGCUAACAAAGAUUGUCCCAAGGGCUGGAAUUGUUGUUCUAAUGGUUGUGGCCGCCUGUGUGCACAUCCAGCUACAGUAUUGCCUUCUCCCUUUGGCCCCCCUAUCCUGCCAUGAGUCAUACAAAGAUUUCCAUUGUUCUGGGAUGUUGAAAUGCUGCCAAAUGGCCUUUUGGAGUGCAUGCAGCUUGUCCCUAUGAUUUUCCACUUGGAGACUGGGUGAUGAUGACUUCCCAGUCAAGGUGUUUUUGGUACUGUGUGGUCAACUAAACAAUAAAUGCUUUUCUGUGCAAA